rnacentral:rRNA from 1 species
CCUACGGUGGGCAGCAGUAGGGAAUAUUGCUCAAUGGGGGAAACCCUGACGCAGCAACGCCGCGUGGAGGAUGAAGGUUUUAGGAUUGUAAACUCCUUUUGUUAGAGAAGAUUAUGACGGUAUCUAACGAAUAAGCACCGGCUAACUCCUUGCCAGCAGCCGCGGUAAUACGGAGGGUGCAAGCGUUACUCGGAAUCACUGGGCGUAAAGAGUGCGUAGGCGGUGUAAUAAGUCAGGUGUGAAAUCCUGUAGCUUAACUACAGAACUGCAUUUGAAACUGUGACUCUGGAGUGUGUGAGAGGUUGGUGGAAUUCUUGGUGUAGGGGUAAAAUCCGUAGAGAUCAAGAGGAAUAUUCGUGGCGAAGGCGACCUGCUGGAACAUUACUGACGCUGAGGCACGAAAGCGUGGGGAGCAAACAGGAUUAGAUACCCGAGUAGUC